CAAGGGAUAGUUUAAAGAUAGAAUAC
rnacentral:tRNA from 1 species